rnacentral:rRNA from 1 species
GUGAGGAAUUUUCCGCAAUGGGCGAAAGCCUGACGGAGCAAUGCCGCGUGAAGGAUGAAGGCCUAUGGGUUGUAAACUUCUUUUCUCAGAAAAGAAUUAUGACGGUAUCUGAGGAAUAAGCAUCGGCUAACUCUGUGCCAGCAGCCGCGGUAAGACAGAGGAUGCAAGCGUUAUCCGGAAUGAUUGGGCGUAAAGCGUCUGUAGGUUGUUUAAAAAGUAUUCUGUCAAAGAUUAGGGCUUAACCCUAGAUAGGCAGAAUAAACUUUUAAGCUAGAGUUUGGUAGAGGCAGAGGGAGUUCCCGGUGGAGCGGUGAAAUGCGUAGAUAUCGGGAGGAACACCAAAGGCGAAGGCACUCUGCUGGGCCAAUACUAACACUGAGAGACGAAAGCGAGGGGAGCAAAUGGGAUUAGAAACCCCAGUAGUCC